rnacentral:rRNA from 1 species
UAGUCCACGCUGUAAACGAUGAUUACUCGGUGCUAGCAACAUACUGUUAGUGCCUAAGCGAAAGCGAUAAGUAAUCCACCUGGGGAGUACGGUCGCAAGAUUGAAACUUAAAGGAAUUGACGGGGGCCCGCACAAGCGGUGGAGCAUGUGGUUUAAUUCGAUGAUACGCGAGGAACCUCACCUGGGCUUAAAUGUAGACUGACGGUUCUGGAAACAGUUCCUUCUUCGGACAGUCUACAAGGUGCUGCAUGGUUGUCGUCAGCUCGUGCUGUGAGGUGUCGGGUUAAGUCCCAUAACGAGCGCAACCCCUAUCCUUAGUUGCCAGCGAGUAAUGUCGGGGACUCUAGGGAAACUGCCGGUGCAAACCGUGAGGAAGGUGGGGAUGACGUCAAAUCAUCACGGCCCUUACGUCCAGGGCUACACACGUGCUACAAUGGCGCAUACAAAGGGCAGCUACAUGGUGACAUGAUGCUAAUCUCUAAAGUGCGUCUCAGUUCGG